AUUACCACCUCAACGCAAAACAUGUUGGGGCUAGCGCGCAGGGCAUGGUGACUAAAGAUACCCCACUCAUCCUACACAUCCGGUCUUGGCACACCUGCUACCCCAGUGCAUAGCACUGCAGGGUCUCCAGGAAGUCUCCAGGAAAUGAGAUGGCAAAGAGAGGCUUUACGUUGCUGCUCUUGGCACCAAAGGUCUUUGCAGCCGUGUUCAUUCUGAUCUGAGACACCGAGACAGCCAAUAAAUGGAGGUUCACUGGUUUGAAGACAAGAGGACAGAAUGAACUCAUGGUCCUGUUGUUCCUGCUAGUAGCCUCCAUUAUGCAGCGGUGACUUUGCACAUGGCAUUGUUUAUGUUUUUAUCUUUUGUUGCACGUUUCUCCCUGUGUUGAUUUGUUGCAUCGCCUCACUCAGGUGAUGUGUGUUGUGCCUCAUUUGCCAUAC